rnacentral:rRNA from 2 species
ACGGAAGGCAGCAGUGAGGAAUAUUGGUCAAUGGGCGAGAGCCUGAACCAGCCAAGUAGCGUGAGGGAUGACUGCCCUACGGGUUGUAAACCUCUUUUGUCCGGGAAUAAAAAGCGGGACGCGUCCCGCCUUGCAGGUACCGGUUGAAUAAGGGCCGGCUAAUUCCGUGCCAGCAGCCGCGGUAAUACGGAAGGCCCGAGCGUUAUCCGGAUUUAUUGGGUUUAAAGGGAGCGCAGGCGGAGACGCAAGCCAGCCGUCAAAUCGCGGGGCUCAACCCCGCCCAGCGGUUGGAACUGCGUCCCUUGAGCCGGGGAGAGGGAGGCGGAACUCGUGGUGUAGCGGUGAAAUGCAUAGAUAUCACGAAGAACUCCGAUUGCGAAGGCAGCCUCCUGGCCCCGCGCUGACGCUCAUGCUCGAAGGCGCGGGUAUCAAACAGGAUUAGAUACCCUGGUA